rnacentral:rRNA from 1 species
GACGAACGCUGGCGGCGUGCUUAACACAUGCAAGUCGAACGGAAAGGCCCUGCUUUUGUGGGGUGCUCGAGUGGCGAACGGGUGAGUAACACGUGAGUAACCUGCCCUUGACUUUGGGAUAACUUCAGGAAACUGGGGCUAAUACCGGAUAGGAGCUCCUGCUGCAUGGUGGGGGUUGGAAAGUUUCGGCGGUUGGGGAUGGACUCGCGGCUUAUCAGCUUGUUGGUGGGGUAGUGGCUUACCAAGGCUUUGACGGGUAGCCGGCCUGAGAGGGUGACCGGCCACAUUGGGACUGAGAUACGGCCCAGACUCCUACGGGAGGCAGCAGUGGGGAAUAUUGCACAAUGGGCGGAAGCCUGAUGCAGCAACGCCGCGUGCGGGAUGACGGCCUUCGGGUUGUAAACCGCUUUCGCCUGUGACGAAGCGUGAGUGACGGUAAUGGGUAAAGAAGCACCGGCUAACUACGUGCCAGCAGCCGCGGUGAUACGUAGGGUGCGAGCGUUGUCCGGAUUUAUUGGGCGUAAAGGGCUCGUAGGUGGUUGAUCGCGUCGGAAGUGUAAUCUUGGGGCUUAACCCUGAGCGUGCUUUCGAUACGGGUUGACUUGAGGAAGGUAGGGGAGAAUGGAAUUCCUGGUGGAGCGGUGGAAUGCGCAGAUAUCAGGAGGAACACCAGUGGCGAAGGCGGUUCUCUGGGCCUUUCCUGACGCUGAGGAGCGAAAGCGUGGGGAGCGAACAGGCUUAGAUACCCUGGUAGUCCACGCUGUAAACGGUGGGUACUAGGUGUGGGGUCCAUUCCACGGGUUCCGUGCCGUAGCUAACGCUUUAAGUACCCCGCCUGGGGAGUACGGCCGCAAGGCUAAAACUCAAAGGAAUUGACGGGGCCCCGCACAAGCGGCGGAGCAUGCGGAUUAAUUCGAUGCAACGCGUAGAACCUUACCUGGGUUUGACAUGGAUCGGGAGUGCUCAGAGAUGGGUGUGCCUCUUUUGGGGUCGGUUCACAGGUGGUGCAUGGCUGUCGUCAGCUCGUGUCGUGAGAUGUUGGGUUAAGUCCCGCAACGAGCGCAACCCUUGUUCACUGUUGCCAGCACGUUAUGGUGGGGACUCAGUGGAGACCGCCGGGGUCAACUCGGAGGAAGGUGGGGAUGACGUCAAGUCAUCAUGCCCCUUAUGUCCAGGGCUUCACGCAUGCUACAAUGGCUGGUACAGAGAGUGGCGAGCCUGUGAGGGUGAGCGAAUCUCGGAAAGCCGGUCUCAGUUCGGAUUGGGGUCUGCAACUCGACCUCAUGAAGUCGGAGUCGCUAGUAAUCGCAGAUCAGCAACGCUGCGGUGAAUACGUUCCCGGGGCUUGUACACACCGCCCGUCAAGUCAUGAAAGUUGGUAACACCCGAAGCCGGUGGCCUAACCGUUGUGGGGGAGCCGUCGAAGG